rnacentral:tRNA from 1 species
GGAGACGUGGCCGAGUGGUUAUGGCGCAAGUUUCAGGUACUUGUGGGAAACCGCAUGGGUUCGAAUCCCAUCGUCUUCA